AGCUGGGUGUCAAUUAAGUCUUUUUGAUCUCGAGGGCGGAAAUUGCUUUCUUGUGAUGGAAUUUGCGAGACGAAUUGUUCGGCACAACUUCGAUCAAUUAGUUGCAGUGGAGUGGAAACUUUUAAUGACUGUUUACUUUAAAAUCGUUUACUUAUAAGCAAUAGGUUUCUAAAAAAAAGUCGUUCCGGAUGUUGAAUAGAUAAUUUCUUUAGAAAUGAGCUACUAGGCAUUAGCAAUUACUUAGUAACUUGGAAUGUUAUUGAUUAUGUAAAUCCUAUGGUACUUUCAUUCGUAUGUUGCGAUUUAAUUCACGCAGACUAGGAUUAAGUGUAUUUGUUUUCAGUGGAUUUCUUUUUAUUCAUGUUGUGUUGUAAUUAAUAUUCAGUUAGCCAUUCAUCAUUGAUUUGCCACAAGAUGAAACUCGAAUGUAUCGAAGAGGGCCAGACGUCGCAGAAUAAAUACGGGGUUCGCUGAAAUCAUUGAUGAUAUGAAGAAAGUUGAAGGACCAGGCGCCGUUUUCCCCGGAAAACCUGGAGACGAGAAUGCUGUUUUACCUGAUGUCCAUUGGACAGUGCCAGUCCCCUCGGGACUCGCGUUGUGUGGAAGUGAAAAGCAAGUCCCACCGUCCGGAUAACGUUGGUGCCGGAUCAAAGCCCGAGAAAUUCAGUUUGAUUAAUUUGUUGGACUG